GAUGAACGCUGGCGGCGUGCCUAAUACAUGCAAGUCGAACGAGGUGCUUUUGUAGCAAUACGAAAGUAUCCUAGUGGCGAACGGGUGAGUAACGCGUGGGUGACCUGCCCCAAAGUGUGGGAUAACAGUCCGAAAGGAUUGCUAAUACCUCAUGUGGUCUUCGGGUUUAGAAACCGAUGACUAAAGGAGUAUCCGCUUUGGGAGGGACCUGCGUCCCAUCAGCUAGUUGGUGAGGAAUGGCUCACCAAGGCUACGACGGGUAGGGGACCUGA
rnacentral:rRNA from 1 species